ensembl:lncRNA SDCBP2-AS1 SDCBP2 antisense RNA 1
CUAGCGGCUGCAGAGUGGAACAUGGCGGCCUCCUUGCCGCUUGCGUUACCAGAGUCCACCCGGCCUCGUGCUUUCUCCGGGCGCCCGUAGCUGGCGCCGGCAUCCACAAAAAUAGAUCAGGUCAUAAAAGGCACUGCAGCUUCCAUGUUGGUCUUUUGGAUCACUGGAUCUGGGGGAAACCAACCACUGUGUUGUGAGGACACGCAAGCAGUUCUGUGGAGGCUCACGUGGAGAGGAAAGAACCAGGGGACCAGCUACCUUGCAAAUCAACCCUAACAACUUGGUUGAUGACACAAAGACCACAAAGGAAAGAGUACAUGAAGCAGGGCCCUUUGAACCUAUGGAGCACAGUUUGGCACUAUGUACCAAUGACACUUGUUUUAAUUAACAAACCAAUAUUGAUACAUUAUUAUUAACUAUAGUCUAUAUUAAGGUUCUCUUUUUUUGUAUUGUACAGAUCUGUGGGGUUUUGACAAAUGCAUAAUAUUGUGUAUCCACCAUUACACUGUCAUACAGAAUAGUUUUUACUGCCCUGAAAAGCCUCUGUGCUCUACCUAUUUAACCCUCUGCGCUCACACCAAACCCCUGGCAACCACUGACUGACCUUUUUACAUUCCCUAUAGUUCUGCUUUUUGCAGAAUGUCAUAGUAGAAAUCAUACACUAUGUAGACUUUUCAGACUGGCUUCUUUCAUGUAACAAUAUGCAUUUGUUUCUUCCAUGUCUUUUCUUAGCUUGGUAGCUCAUUUCUUUCUGUUGCUGAAUAAUAUUCCAUUGAAUGGAUGUGCCAGACUUUGUUUAUUCAUUCACCUAUUAAAGGACAUCUUGGUGGCUUCCAGUUUCUGGCAAUUGUGAAUAAAGCUACUAUAAAUAUUUAUGUGCAGGUUUUUGUGUGGACAUAAGUUUACAACUCAAUUGGGUAAAUAUCUAGGAGUGCAAUUACUGGAUCAUAUGGUGCAAAUAUGUUUAGUUUUAUAAGGAACUGCUGAACUCUUCCAAAGUAGCUGUAGCGUUUUGCAUUCUCACCAGCAAUGAAAGAGCAUUCUGUUGCCAGCAUUUGGUGUUGUCAGUUUUGUGGAUUUUAGUCACUCUAAAAGAUAUGUAGUGAAAUCUCAUUUUAAUUUGCAAUCUCCUAAUGACAUAUGAUGUGGAUCUUCAUCUCUAUGCUUAUUUGUCACCUGCAUAUUUUCUUUAGUGAGGUGUAAUUUUCAGACCUUUUGCCCAUGUAAAAAAUUAGGUUCUUUUCUUAUUGUUGAGUUUUAAGUGUUUAUAAUUUUGAAUACCAGUCCUUUAUCAGUUAAUGUGUUUUGCAAAUAACUUCUAAUCUUUGGCUUACCUUUUCAUUCUCUUAACAUUCUUUCACAGAGCAGAAGUUUUUAAUUUUAAUAAAGUUCAGUUUAAGAAUUUUUUGUUCCAUGGGUUGUGCUUUUGGUGUUGAAUUUAAAAACUCAUCGCCAAACCACAAACCACAUAGAUUGGUUCCUAUAUUAGCUUCUGUAAGUUUUGUAGUUUUAUGUUUCACAUUUAAGUCUAAGAUCCAUUUUGAUCUAACUUUUAUAAAAGGUGGAAGGACUGUCUGGAUUUUCCCAUUUGUUAAAAAGAUUCUCCUCUUCCCUCUUCCUGCACUGAAUUGCCUUUGCUUCUUUGACAAAUAUAAUUUGACUAUAUUUAUGUGGGUGUAUUUCUGGGCUCUCUAUUCUGUGCUGUUGAUCAGUUUGUCUGUUUUUUCACCAAUACCACACAGUCUUGCCUAAUGUAGAUUUAUAGUAAGUCAUAAAGUCAGGUAGUGUUAAUCCUCUGACUUUGUUCCUUUUCAGGAUUGUGUUGGUCAUUCUAGGUCAUUUGACUUCCCAUAUUAACUUUAGAAUCUGUCAAUAUUCACAAAAUAACUUAUUCGAAUUUUAUUGGAAUUGUGUUGA